GACGAACGCUGGCGGCGCGCUUAACACAUGCAAGUCGAACGGAGAGGCCCUGCUUUUGUGGGGUGCUCGAGUGGCGAACGGGUGAGUAACACGUGAGUGACCUGCGCUUGACUGUGGGGUAACUUCAUGGAACUGGAGCGAAUACCGGAUAUAAACUCCUUCUGCAUGGGUUGUGUGGUAAAGUUUCGGCGGUUGGGGAUGGACUCGCGGCUUAGCAGCUUGUUGGUUGGGUGGUGGAUUACCAAGGCAUUGACGGGUAGCCGGACUGAGAGGGUGACCGGCCCCAUUGGGACUCAGAUACGGCCAAGACUGAUACGGGAGGCAGCAGCGGGGAAUAGUCCACAAUGCGCGGAAGCCUGAUGCAGCAAUGUCGGGUCGGGGAUGACGGUCUGCGGGUUGUAACCCGCUUUCGCGUGUGAAGCAGCGCGAGUGACGGUAAUUGGUAAAGAAGCAACGGCUAACUACGUG
rnacentral:rRNA from 1 species